rnacentral:rRNA from 1 species
UACGGGGGGGGCAAGCGUUGUUCGGAAUUACUGGGCGUAAAGGGCGCGUAGGCGGUCGUGACAAGUCACUUGUGAAAUCUCCGGGCUUAACUCGGAGCGGUCAAGUGAUACUGUCGGACUAGAGUACAGAAGGGGCAACUGGAAUUCUCGGUGUAGCGGUGAAAUGCGUAGAUAUCGAGAGGAACACCUGCGGCGAAGGCGGGUUGCUGGGCUGAUACUGACGCUGAGGCGCGAAAGCCAGGGGAGCGAACGGG